rnacentral:rRNA from 1 species
UACGGAGGGUGCGAGCGUUGUCCGGAAUCAUUGGGCGUAAAGGGCGCGUAGGUGGCGGCUUAAGCGUGCGGUGAAAGCUCGGGGCUCAACCCCGAGUCGGCCGUGCGAACUGAGUCGCUUGGAGCACUGUAGAGGCAGGCGGAAUUCGGGUGUAGCGGUGGAAUGCGUAGAGAUCCGGAAGAACACCGGUGGCGAAGGCGGCCUGCUGGGCAGUAGCUGACACUGAGGCGCGACAC